AGCCCCGUGGUGAAGCUCAUGCUGGAUUGCAAAUCCAAGGACGCAGAUUGACGUCUGCCGGGGCUU
rnacentral:tRNA from 1 species